UCCAAUGUGGUGUAGUGGUUAACAUUGCUGUCUUUCAUGUGUCAAUGAUCACAGCAGCCCGGGGUUCGAUUCCCCGCAUUGGAA
rnacentral:tRNA from 2 species